GAUGAACGCUGGCGGCGUGCCUAAUACAUGCAAGUCGAGCGAACAGACGAGGAGCUUGCUCCUCUGACGUUAGCGGCGGACGGGUGAGUAACACGUGGAUAACCUACCUAUAAGACUGGGAUAACUUCGGGAAACCGGAGCUAAUACCGGAUAAUAUAUUGAACCGCAUGGUUCAAUAGUGAAAGACGGUUUUGCUGUCACUUAUAGAUGGAUCCGCGCCGCAUUAGCUAGUUGGUAAGGUAACGGCUUACCAAGGCAACGAUGCGUAGCCGACCUGAGAGGGUGAUCGGCCACAUUGGAACUGAGACACGGUCCAGACUCCUACGGGAGGCAGCAGCAGGGAAUCUUCCGCAAUGGGCGAAAGCCUGACGGAGCAACGCCGCGUGAGUGAUGAAGGUCUUCGGAUCGUAAAACUCUGUUAUUAGGGAAGAACAAAUGUGUAAGUAACUAUGCACGUCUUGACGGUACCUAAUCAGAAAGCCACGGCUAACUACGUG
rnacentral:rRNA from 1 species